CUGAAAAGACUGAUUUGGAUGCAGAUGUGAAUAGUCAGUAUAUCUUCAUCCGAAAUGAAUUAGUUCUGACAGUUUCCAGAGCAGAAGGAAAACGAUUACGUUACCAUUAUUGUAAACCUGAGAAGCACAGGGGGAACCAGACACACAUUCUCCUCCCGAACCAGCCCAAGCUUUCGAGGCCCCGUGCAGUGAGAGGCGUUAUUUGCACUUUGCUGCCCCCUGGUGGUGAUAUAAAAAUAUAGCCGGAACUCCAGGACCCCGGAAGUUUGUUGACCUCCAAGGUAAAACAUGCCAGUGGGCGUGCACCUCCAUCAUUGGGGUGUUGGGGUUAAACUAUCAGUGUGCUGACCACGUCUUUCAAGUCCAGAAGUAUGCACGGAACGACUUUCAGGCUCAAAUGGCUAGAUUACGUGAAAGAACUAUUUCAGGUCGCCUGCUGCCUUUGAUCCACAGGGUAGAUCAAAGAUCUCAUCCAUGCAAGGUCUCUCCAAGACUGGAGAAAAAGAAGCAGUAAGUGAGAGUGUUCUCGCGAGAGACUGCAGAGCAGUGAGCAGUCAUGGGUGGUUGACGGAGGAGGCUGAGGACCUGGAAACAUUGUGGACAGUGCUCCUUGGCAGGUUGAAUUUCCUUUUUGAACCCAGCUUUCUUGGCGUUGACCCUUAGUUCUCUGGUUUGUUACUGUCCUAGUGAUUGACACAGUAUCUCCUUGUUCUGUUCCACAUGGAGCGACCUCCUUCCUUGAUCCCUACCCCAAAUCGGACCUGUCUCUAGACCCAUUUGCAGGUGACAAAAAUGGAUUCCGGAUGAAUGAAGCAGAAGAGUUUAUGGAGGGAAAAUUAAAGAGCUCAACAACCACCAAGGCUGCUGGCGAAUCAGGCCGUCUCCUAGGAGACCGGGAGACCAGAGGGCAAUGAUGUGGAGUCACUGCUGGCUGGUGGGUGGCCCAUGGGUCAUGGGUCUGCACCAUCACCACUGCCCCUGCAGGCUGGUCCUGCCUCCCGUGGGGACCCACACACAUAAGAAGGGGUUCGAGAUCCUAGAAAUAAAAUGCUGGCCACCACAGCUCAUUAGAAUGCUUUGGUAAACGAGGAGCUAUCUUUCUGGAUCUCUCUCUCUCUGCCUGUUCUUUCUCCUUCCACUCAAGGCUCUCUAGGAGGAGCUGUCCUGGAUAGAGACCUUUCCCAUUGCUGAUCUGAGUUGUGUUCCUUCGUCGCCUGCUUUCCACUGUCUGCCUCUUAGAAGGAAGAGUGGGUUGCAAUCAAAUUUUUGGAGGGAGCUACGAUCACUUUGGUUUUAAACAUUUUGUUGCCUGUGACUUCACUUUUGCCUAUUUUAAUCUCCAUGACAACCCUAGGAAGUGGGUAUUGUUAUUCCCACUUUACAGAUGAAAAGUCGAAGCCUUAGGGAGGUUAUGUGAUUCCAAGAUUGCACAUCUAGAAAUGGAGGAGACGGAUUUCAAACUCAGGGCUGUCUGAUUCCAAAGUCCGUGUUCUUUUUUUUUUUU